UGGGGGAUAUUGCACAAUGGAGGAAACUCUGAUGCAGCGACGCCGCGUGAGGGAAGACGGUCUUCGGAUUGUAAACCUCUGUCUUUGGGGAAGAAAAUGACGGUACCCAAAGAGGAAGCUCCGGCUAACUACGUGCCAGCAGCCGCGGUAAUACGUAGGGAGCGAGCGUUGUCCGGAAUUACUGGGCGUAAAGGGAGCGUAGGCGGGCGAGAAAGUUGAAUGUUAAAUCUACCGGCUUAACUGGUAGCUGCGUUCAAAACUUCUUGUCUUGAGUGAAGUAGAGGCAGGCGGAAUUCCUAGUGUAGCGGUGAAAUGCGUAGAUAUUAGGAGGAACACCAGUGGCGAAGGCGGCCUGCUGGGCUUUAACUGACGCUGAGGCUCGAAAGCGUGGGGAGCAAACAGG
rnacentral:rRNA from 1 species